rnacentral:rRNA from 1 species
GACGAACGCUGGCGGCGUGCUUAACACAUGCAAGUCGAACGGAAAGGCCCUGCUUUUGUGGGGUGCUCGAGUGGCGAACGGGUGAGUAACACGUGAGUAACCUGCCCUUGACUUUGGGAUAACUUCAGGAAACUGGGGCUAAUACCGGAUAGGAGCUCCUGCUGCAUGGUGGGGGUUGGAAAGUUUCGGCGGUUGGGGAUGGACUCGCGGCUUAUCAGCUUGUUGGUGGGGUAGUGGCUUACCAAGGCUUUGACGGGUAGCCGGCCUGAGGGGGUGACCGGCCACAUUGGGACUGAGAUACGGCCAGACUCCUACGGGAGGCAGCAGUGGGGAAUAUUGCACAAUGGGCGGAAGCCUGAUGCAGCAACGCCGCGUGCGGGAUGACGGCCUUCGGGUUGUAAACCGCUUCCGCCUGUGACGAAGCGUGAGUGACGGUAAUGGGUAAAGAAGCACCGGCUAACUACGUGCCAGCAGCCGCGGUGAUACGUAGGGUGCGAGCGUUGUCCGGAUUUAUUGGGCGUAAAGGGCUCGUAGGUGGUUGAUCGCGUCGGAAGUGUAAUCUUGGGGCUUAACCCUGAGCGUGCUUUCGAUACGGGUUGACUUGAGGAAGGUAGGGGAGAAUGGAAUUCCUGGUGGAGCGGUGGAAUGCGCAGAUAUCAGGAGGAACACCAGUGGCGAAGGCGGUUCUCUGGGCCUUUCCUGACGCUGAGGAGCGAAAGCGUGGGGAGCGAACAGGCUUAGAUACCCUGGUAGUCCACGCUGUAAACGGUGGGUACUAGGUGUGGGGUCCAUUCCACGGGUUCCGUGCCGUAGCUAACGCUUUAAGUACCCCGCCUGGGGAGUACGGCCGCAAGGCUAAAACUCAAAGGAAUUGACGGGGCCCCGCACAAGCGGCGGAGCAUGCGGAUUAAUUCGAUGCAACGCGUAGAACCUUACCUGGGUUUGACAUGGAUCGGGAGUGCUCAGAGAUGGGUGUGCCUCUUUUGGGGUCGGUUCACAGGUGGUGCAUGGCUGUCGUCAGCUCGUGUCGUGAGAUGUUGGGUUAAGUCCCGCAACGAGCGCAACCCUUGUUCACUGUUGCCAGCACGUUAUGGUGGGGACUCAGUGGAGACCGCCGGGGUCAACUCGGAGGAAGGUGGGGAUGACGUCAAGUCAUCAUGCCCCUUAUGUCCAGGGCUUCACGCAUGCUACAAUGGCUGGUACAGAGAGUGGCGAGCCUGUGAGGGUGAGCGAAUCUCGGAAAGCCGGUCUCAGUUCGGAUUGGGGUCUGCAACUCGACCUCAUGAAGUCGGAGUCGCUAGUAAUCGCAGAUCAGCAACGCUGCGGUGAAUACGUUCCCGGGGCU